GAAAUUGCCGAACGCGAUGCCCGAGGGCGCUGUGAGCAGGGUGGCCUUAGCUCACCGAGGCUGGUCAGUGAGAGGGCAUACUGGGAAGCCCUGUGGAGUGGGAAGACAGUGCCGCUGUUGAGACAAGACCCAGGACUGGGCCGGGGACUGUCCCAAAGGGUUUCUCGUCAUAAUGGCUGUGGAAGGGUCAACCAUUACCAGCCGGAUCAAGAAUCUGUUGAGAUCUCCAUCCAUCAAACUGCGCAGGAGUAAGGCAGGAAACCGACGAGAGGACCUCAGCUCCAAGGUGACCUUGGAGAAGGUGCUGGGAAUUACAGUGUCUGGAGGCAGAGGACUUGCCUGUGACCCCCGAUCAGGUUUAGUUGCUUACCCAGCAGGGUGUGUGGUUGUGUUGUUCAAUCCCCGGAAACACAAACAGCACCACAUCCUCAACAGUUCCAGGAAAACCAUCACUGCCCUUGCCUUCUCCCCUGAUGGCAAGUACUUGGUCACUGGAGAGAGUGGGCACAUGCCUGCCGUGCGGGUUUGGGACGUGGCAGAGCACAGCCAGGUGGCCGAGCUGCAGGAGCACAAGUAUGGUGUGGCUUGUGUGGCCUUCUCUCCUAGCGCCAAGUACAUUGUCUCUGUGGGCUACCAGCAUGACAUGAUCGUCAACGUGUGGGCCUGGAAGAAAAACAUUGUGGUGGCCUCCAACAAGGUGUCCAGUCGGGUGACAGCAGUGUCCUUCUCUGAGGAUUGCAGCUACUUUGUCACUGCAGGCAACCGGCACAUCAAAUUCUGGUAUCUCGAUGACAGCAAGACCUCAAAGGUGAGGUGCUGAAGCUGGGAGUAGCCACCCAGGCCCCUGGCAGGGCCUGCCCAGCCCACCCCAGGAGACUCUGCCCCACUUGGGCCUCUCUCUGCAUUCCCAGCAGUCAUGCAGAAGUUUUGAAUGAGCCAGAUGCUGUCUGGGCUGAGGAGUAGGCCCAAAGAGCAAGGAGGUGCUGGAGGCGUCCCCUGUACUCUCCUAGGGCCUAGUUUCCAGGGGCAGGCUCUGGGGUGGAUGGGGGUGUAACAGUGGUGUGCCUCCACAGGUGAAUGCCACUGUGCCCUUGCUGGGCCGCUCAGGGCUGCUGGGAGAGCUACGGAACAACCUAUUCACUGAUGUGGCCUGUGGCAGAGGAAAGAAGGCGGACAGUACCUUCUGCAUCACGUCCUCAGGGCUGCUGUGCGAGUUCAGUGAUCGAAGGCUUUUGGACAAGUGGGUGGAGCUGAGGGUAAGUACCUCCGUCCCCAGGGGUAGGGUAUGCUCAUGUCUCAGCUCAGGGGAGAACUAGUGCCCAGGGCUUCAGACUAGGGGCUGGUCCCUUGUGCAUACGGGAGAUCCCAGGAGAACGAAGCUUGGGGGAGCUAGAGCUUGGCCCAUUUCCAGCCCUUGGUGAUCUGUAUAACUGCCUCCUCUCUGCUCUUUCUGUCUCUUUCCCCUGCUUUCCUCUUCCGCUCAGAACAUAGACAGCUUCACAGUAAGUGGUGCCUGCACCUUCCUCUCUUUCUCAUGCUAUUUCUUUCUCUUCACUGGGCUUUUCCUACUGGAUCCUCUGGUGCCUAGAAGAACCCUCGAUUCCUAAUCCCUGGCUGGACAGGGCUGAGGGGCUCAGAACAGGGCAGCUGGGCGGCUUUUCCCUUGCCCCUGCCUUGGGCGGUCCCUCCUCUUAGCAGGUGGCUGUUGAUGGGUGGGGAGGAGAGAAGACUGAGUGGGCAGGUGGCCUUGCUGAGCUGAGCCACUCUGCCCACAGACCACAGUGGCCCACUGCAUCUCUGUGAGCCAAGACUACAUCUUCUGUGGCUGUGCUGAUGGCACCGUGCGCCUUUUCAACCCCUCUAACCUGCACUUCCUUAGCACCUUGCCCCGACCCCAUGCUCUGGGGACAGACAUUGCUAGCGUCACCGAGGCCAGUCGCCUCUUCUCUGGAGUGGCGAAUGCCAGGUAUCCAGACACCAUUGCCUUGACCUUUGAUCCUACUAAUCAGUGGCUGUCUUGUGUGUACAACGAUCAUAGCAUUUAUGUUUGGGAUGUGAGGGACCCCAAGAAAGUGGGCAAGGUGUACUCGGCUCUGUAUCAUUCUUCCUGCGUCUGGAGUGUGGAGGUCUACCCCGAGGUGAAGGACAGUAACCAGGCCUGCCUGCCCCCCAGUUCCUUUAUUACCUGCUCCUCAGACAACACCAUCCGCCUGUGGAACACAGAGAGCUCCGGGGUGCAUGGCUCCACCCUCCACCGAAACAUCCUCAGCAGUGACCUCAUUAAAAUCAUCUAUGUGGAUGGGAACACCCAGGCUCUGCUGGACACAGAGCUGCCUGGAGGAGACAAAGCUGAUGCAUCCCUGUUGGAUCCCCGUGUGGGCAUCCGCUCGGUGUGUGUCAGCCCCAAUGGACAGCAUCUAGCAUCAGGGGACCGUAUGGGCACACUUAGGGUGCACGAACUUCAGUCCCUGAGUGAGAUGCUGAAGGUGGAGGCCCAUGACUCUGAGAU
rnacentral:sRNA from 1 species